rnacentral:rRNA from 1 species
UACGUAGGGUGCAAGCGUUAAUCGGAAUUACUGGGCGUAAAGGGCGCGUAGGCGGCACGGCAAGUCAGGAGUGAAAGCCCUGGGCUCAACCCGGGAACUGCUUUUGAAACUGCCGAGCUAGAGUGCGGAAGGGGCAACUGGAAUUCCCAGUGUAGCGGUGAAAUGCGUAGAUAUUGGGAAGAACACCUGAGGCGAAGGCGGGUUGCUGGGUCGACACUGACGCUGAGACGCGAAAGCGUGGGGAGCAAACAGG